UGUGUCCCUGUGGGUAAACUGAGUGUGUGCUAUCUACUCAUUCACUCCCCUACCUGUUCUUCGGGUUAGUCCCGUUGAUUUGGUUCCAUGUCAAGUCUCUCUUUAUACUCUUCUCCUUCCUUUGGAAGUUACGGAACACCUACCCAACCACGCGCCGCCCCGAUUUCCUCAAUUUCAUGCGGCGGCCCGAGGCCCAGGAAGAAGCAACCGAACCCCAAUGCUGAAGCUCAAGAGCUGGUUCGUGUGCUCACGCGCAGGAUAAGCGACAAAGAGCCUAUCCUCAAGACUCUGAAUAAGUAUGUGAAGCAGGUCAGAACCGAACAUUGCUUUUUGCUCUUUGAAGAACUCGGCAAGGAAGGCAACUGGCUCCAAUGUAUUGAGGUUUUCAGAUGGAUGCAAAAACAGCGAUGGUAUAUUGCUGAUAAUGGGAUAUACUCAAAACUGAUAUCAGUUAUGGGAAAAAGAGGGCAAACCAGAAUGGCUAUGUGGCUUUUCUCAGAGAUGCGGAAUACUGGAUGUCGUCCUGACACUUCUGUGUACAAUGCACUAAUCACGGCCCAUCUUCAUUCGCGGGACAAAACAAAGGCUUUGUCCAAAGCCAUUGGCUACUUUCAGAAGAUGAAGGGAAUUGAGCGGUGUAAGCCAAACGUUGUUACAUACAAUAUUCUUUUGAGAGCUUUUGCUCAGGCUCGUAACCUCGAGCAGGUCAAUUCUUUGUUUAAGGAUCUUGAUGAGAGUCCUAUUUCACCGGAUGUUUACACUUUUAAUGGUGUGAUGGAUGCUUAUGGUAAAAAUGGGAUGAUCCGGGAAAUGGAAGCAAUACUUGCUCAGAUGAGAAGCAGUAAAUGUAAACCUGACUUGAUCACCUUUAACUUGCUCAUUGAUUCCUAUGGGAAGAAGCAGGAGUUUGGCAAGAUGGAGCAGGUAUUCAAGAGUUUGUUGCAUUCCAAGGAGAAACCAACACUGUCCACCUUCAAUUCAAUGAUUUUGAACUAUGGGAAGGCACGGCUCAAGAAUAAAGCAGAAGAGGUUUUCGAGAAGAUGAUUGACAUGGGUUACACCCCAAGCUCUGUUACCCAUGAGAGUCUCAUCUAUAUGUAUGGCCUCUGUGGUUAUGUUUCCAGAGCUGUACAAUUGUUCGAUGAGCUGGUGGAGUCAAAAGUUCAAAUAAAAGUUUCAACCUUAAAUACUAUGCUUGAUGUUUACUGCCUAAAUGGUUUACCUCAGGAAGCACAUUCACUGUUUGAGAGGGCAAAAAGUGUAAAAAUAUAUCCAGAUUCAUCAUCAUAUAAACUUCUUUAUAAGGCUUAUACUAAAGCAAAACAGAAGGAGCUUCUAGAUGAAUUGCUGAAGCAUAUGGAUAAAGAUGGUAUAAUCCCUAACAAGAGGUUUUUCUUGAAUGCUUUGGGUUCUGUUGCAUCUGUACCCGCAAAUUCAGAAUCUGCUAAUACUGCAACUGAUUCAAACACAGCAAAUUCAGAAUAUGCUAAUGCUGCAACUGAUUCAAACAAAGUAAAUUCAGAGUCUUUUAUUGCCAACUCUGGUUCAAACACAUCAAAUUCAGAAUCUGCUAAUGCCGCUACUGAUUCCGACAAAUCAAAUUCAAAGUCUACUAAUGCCAGUACUGAUCCAAACAACCCCCAAGAUUUUGCAAAGUUGGCAGCCCACGUAAAGAACUUUUUAGCUCAUAGGUGACUUGCAUACAAUCAGCUCUAUUCACUUAAGAGAUGUGACGUGUAAGGAAGUACAAAGAGAAAUUCUCAAUUGAUUGUUACUGACAUGCUGGGGCAGAGCAAUAAGGGAGAGGCACUUGUGAAGAAAGGAGAUAACAUGGGUUUUAGUUGUAUGAAAAGGAAAAGAGGGGUAUCAAAAAGGUCAAUGAAGGAAGUUGCUAAGAUUUCAUAGUUAUGUGAAUUAUUUGAUCUUUUAGCCAAGCCAAGUUACGUUAUGUGAUUUCUAUUUCCAACCUCAAAUAAUAAAACUUUGGUAUGAAUUUAUUCAUGCACAUAGCCCUUUCCUUGGUGGCACUACAGUCUAUGAAGAAUGCAUCAGACUUGACAGCUGUGAAAGCUAACUUACAACAAAUCUCAAAAGAACUGGCUUGCUGGUGGAAAGCAAUGAGUAAAUCUGUAACUAAACAAAAAUGAGUUUUAAUGUUAUUUUCUAUUCAUGUACAAUGAUCGUUCUGAUGUGAUUUGAAAUCAUGAAGAAAAACUGGCUUGUCAUUUUCUGCACUGCAGUGAAAACAACAAAGUAAUGAAACUAUUUGCUUAAAAC